rnacentral:lncRNA from 1 species
CUCUGCUUCUCAGUAGAUUUUUUCUGGGCCUGCUGGGGACAGUGGCAACGCUGUGGCCUGUUCAGGGCCGAUAGGAGGGAGAUAGAAGGGGCGGGGAGCUGGCGAUCCAUCAUCUCCCCUCCCACCAGGAGCAGACCAGGGCGGUUUUGGAAACCAGGUUUUCCUGAUCUUAGCAUCACACUAACACGUGUACACACACCCCCGCCCUAGGAGAUUACACACAGAUACACUGACAUGUUUUCUCCCCACGUGUCUGCCCUGUGAGCUGCUUCCAGGGUCAAUUUCCCGAGAAGCCCCCUUGUGUGGGUCUCCCUCCCUCCUCCCCCAAAUGAAAACCUUCCAUGACUCCUUGGUGUCUAUGGGGUGACUCAGACUCUCUAGCCUCACGUUCAAGGUCUUCCCUGAUCUGGUCCCAACCUGACUUCCUAGCCUGGUCCCCCAUAAUCCUCCAACAGAGGGGUCUUCCUGGGAGUUCCCGUCGUGGCUCAGUGGUUAACGAAUCCGACUAGGAACCGUGAGGUUGGGGGUUCGAUCUCUGGCCGUACUCAGUGGGUUGGGCAUCUGGCGUUGCCAUGAGCUGUGGUGUAGGUCGCAGACGCGGCACAGAUCUGGCGUUGCUGUGGCUGUGGUGCAGACCAGCAGCUACAGCUCCAAUUAGACCCCUAGCCUGAGAACCUCCAUAUGCCGUGGGAGCGGCCUUAGAAAAGGCAAAAAGACAACAACAACAACAACAAAAAAAGUGUCUUCCUGAAGAAAGACUCGUCCUAUGCAUUUACAUUUCCUCCUCCAGGGUGGAUCACCGGGGACAAGCCUCUUCCCAUGCACAUCUCUACUGGGUCAGGGCCACCUCCUCCGGGAGGCCUCUUUGAUUGCCUCAGCCUCCAGCAGCUUCUUCCUUACAUGUCCCUGACAUUCCGAGGGGAAGCCUUCGUUCACUUGAGGAUGAAAAAUAACAACCAGAUGAACGAAAGAACGAUCAUCAGAAAUGAUAAAUAAUACGUUCCAGAUGUGGCCAGAGAGAAACGCAGCUGAAAGCACUGCCUCCUCCUAGCAGUCACCUUGCGGGAACCCCUCCUCCCAACAAGGCCUUCACGACAAGUUGUGUAACUCCUCUUUCAGUAUUGCCUUCAGGGUAUGUGACUCUGUUUUUUGAAUGUCCUUACUGGUGACAACCCUUUAUCUUUUGCUUUUCUAGAAUCAGUCAAAAAUAACGCCUGGCUCAUCGUGGUUGUCUUGAGUAGACUGUAAAACGGCUAUAAAGGAGUCUUUGUAGAAAUGUUUUAAUCCGUAGGGUAGAUGGUGUAAGUGUGUGUCCUCCUAAGGUGACUGUUCCGAAGGACAGCCCUUGUUUGGUUUCCAUUUUUUCUUUUUUCAGGGCCGCACCUGCGGCAUAUGGAGGUUCCCAGGCUAGGGGGUUGAAUCAGAGCUGCAGCUGCCAGCCUACACCACAACCACAGCAAUGCAAGAUCUGAGCCGCGUCUGCGACCCACACCACAGCUUGCAGCAACAACGGUGGAUCCUUAACCCACUGAGCAAGGCCAGGGAUUGAACCUGCAUCCUCAUGGAUAUUAGUCUGGUUCUUAACCUGCUGAGCCCCAGUGGGAACUCCCCGUGUUUGUUUAAAGAAGAUAAUCUCAGAUAUACAUCCCAUAUCAUAUUCUGUACAAUAAAAUAAUGUAUUAUGAUGUU